rnacentral:piRNA from 1 species
UGAAGGUGCUGCCUACAGUGAAAUGG